GACGAACGCUGGCGGCGUGCUUAACACAUGCAAGUCGAACGGAAAGGCCCUGCUUUUGUGGGGUGCUCGAGUGGCGAACGGGUGAGUAACACGUGAGUAACCUGCCCUUGACUUUGGGAUAACUUCAGGAAACUGGGGCUAAUACCGGAUAGGAGCUCCUGCUGCAUGGUGGGGGUUGGAAAGUUUCGGCGGUUGGGGAUGGACUCGCGGCUUAUCAGCUUGUUGGUGGGGUAGUGGCUUACCAAGGCUUUGACGGGUAGCCGGCCUGAGAGGGUGACCGGCCACAUUGGGCCUGAGAUACGGCCCAGACUCCUACGGGAGGCAGCAGUGGGGAAUAUUGCACAAUGGGCGGAAGCCUGAUGCAGCAACGCCGCGUGCGGGAUGACGGCCGUCGGGUUGUAAACCGUUUUCGCCUGUGACGAAGCGUGAGUGACGGUAAUGGGUAAAGAAGCACCGGCUAACUACGUG
rnacentral:rRNA from 1 species